rnacentral:rRNA from 1 species
UACGUAGGGUGCAAGCGUUAAUCGGAAUUACUGGGCGUAAAGCGUGCGCAGGCGGUUUUGUAAGUCUGUCGUGAAAUCCCCCGGGCUCAACCUGGGAAUUGCGAUGGAGACUGCAAGGCUAGAAUCUGGCAGAGGGGGGGUAGAAUUCCACGUGUAGCAGUGAAAUGCGUAGAGAUGUGGAGGAACACCGAUGGCGAAGGCAGCCCCCUGGGUCAAGAUUGACGCUCAUGCACGAAAGCGUGGGGAGCAAACAGA